rnacentral:lncRNA from 1 species
GCUUUUCCAUGUAAUCAGCAUUAGGGUUUUAAACCUUAAACUGAGUUUUCCUUUUAGUCAGCAUUAGGGUUUUAAACCCUAAACUGAACUUUUUCCUUUAGCCAGCAUUAGGGUUUUAAACCCUAAACUGAGCUUUUUUCUUCCAGUCAGCAUUAGGGUUUUAAACCCUAAACUGAACUUUUUUCCAUUCAGCCAACAUUAGGGUUUUAAACCUUAAACUGAGCUUUUCCAUGCAAUCAGCAUUAGGGUUUUAAACCCUAAACUGAAUUUUUCCUUUAGUCAGCAUUAGGGUUUUAAACCCUAAACUGAACUUUUUUCCAUUCAGCCAGCAUUAGGGUUUUAAACCCUAAACUGAGCUUUUCCAUGCAAUCUGCAUUAGGGUUUUAAACCCUAAACUGAAUUUUUCUUUUAGUCAGCAUUAGGGUUUUAAACCCUAAACUGAUUUUUCCAUUCAGCCAGCAUUAGGGUUUUAAACCCUAAACUGAGCUUUUCCAUGCAAUCAGCAUUAGGGUUUUAAACCCUAAACUGGAUUUUUCCUUUCAGCCAGCAUUAGGGUUUUAAACCCUAAACUGAACUUUUUCCUUUAGCCAGCAUUAGGGUUUUAAACCCUAAACUGAAUUUUUUCCAUUCAGCCAGCAUUAGGGUUUUAAACCCUAAACUGAGCUUUUCCUUCCAGUCAGCAUUAGGGUUUUAAACCCUAAACUGAAUUUUUCCUUUAGACAGCAUUAGGAUUUUAAACCCUAAACUGAGUUUUCCUUUUAGUCAGCUUUAGGGUUUUAAACCCUAAACUGAAUUUUUCCUUUAGUCAGCAUUAGGGUUUUAAACCCUAAACUGAACUUUUUUCCAUUCAGCCAGCAUUAGGGUUUUAAACCCUAAACUGAACUCUUUUCCAUUCAGCCAGCAUUAGGGUUUUAAACCCUAAACUGAGCUUUUCCAUGCAAUCAACAUUAGGGUUUUAAACCCUAAACUGAAUUUUUCCUUUAGUCAGCAUUAGGGUUUUAAACCCUAAACUGAAUUUUUUCCAUUCAGCCAGCAUUAGGGUUUUAAACACUAAACUGAAUUUUUCCUUCCAGUCAGCAUUAGGGUUUUAAACCCUAAACUGAAUUUUUCCUUUAAUCAGCAUUAGGGUUUUAAACCCUAAACUGAGCUUUUCCUUUCAACCAGCAUUAGGGUUUUAAACCCUAAACUGAAUUUUUUUUUUAGUCAGCAUUAGGGUUUUAAACCCUAAACUGAUUUUUCCAUUCAGCCAGCAUUAGGGUUUUAAACCCUAAACUAAGCUUUUCCAUGCAUGUCAGCAUUAGGGUUUUAAACCCUAAACUGAAUUUUUCCUUUAGUCAGCAUUAGGGUUUUAAACCCUAAACUGAACUUUUUUCCAUUCAGCCAGCAUUAGGGUUUUAAACCCUAAACUGAGCUUUUCCAUGCAAUCAGCAUUAGGGUUUUAAACCCUAAACUGGAUUUUUCCUUUCAGCCAGCAUUAGGGUUUUAAACCCUAAACUGGAUUUUUCCUUUCAGCCAGCAUUAUGGUUUUAAACCCUAAACUGAGCUUUUCCUUUCAGUCAGCAUUAGGGUUUUAAACCCCAAACUGAACUUUUUCCUUUAGUCAGCAUUAGGGUUUUAAACCCUAAACUGAGCUUUUCCAUGCAAUCAGCAUUAGGGUUUUAAACCCUAAACUGAACUUUUUUCCAUUCAGCCAACAUUAGGGUUUUAAACCCUAAACUGAGCUUUUCCAUGCAAUCAGCAUUAGGGUUUUAAACCCUAAACUGAAUUUUUCCUUUAGUCAGCAUUAGGGUUUUAAACCCUAAACUGAACUUUUUUCCAUUCAGCCAACAUUAGGGUUUUAAACCCUAAACUGAGCUUUUCCAUGCAAUCAGCAUUAGGGUUUUAAACCCUAAACUGGAUUUUUCCUUUCAGCCAGCAUUAGGGUUUUAAACCCUAAACUGAGCUUUUCCUUUCAGUCAGCAUUAGGGUUUUAAACCCCAAACUGAACUUUUUCCUUUAGCCAGCAUUAGGGUUUUAAACCCUAAACUGGACUUUUUCCUUUCAACCAGCAUUAGGGUUUUAAAGCCUAAACUGAGCUUUUCCAUGUAAUCAGCAUUAGGGUUUUAAACCCUAAACUGAGUUUUCCUUUUAGUCAGCAUUAGGGUUUUAAACCCUAAACUGAACUUUUUCCUUUAGACAGCAUUAGGAUUUUAAACCCUAAACUGAGUUUUCCUUUUAGUCAGCUUUAGGGUUUUAAACCCUAAACUGAAUUUUUCCUUU